UACAGAGGGGGCAAGCGUUGUUCGGAAUUACUGGGCGUAAAGGGCGCGUAGGCGGCCUUUUGAGUCAGACGUGAAAUCCCCCGGCUUAACCUGGGAACUGCGUCUGAUACUGGAAGGCUUGAGUGCGGGAGAGGGAUGUGGAAUUCCAGGUGUAGCGGUGAAAUGCGUAGAUAUCUGGAGGAACACCGGUGGCGAAGGCGGCAUCCUGGACCGACACUGACGCUGAGGCGCGAAAGCGUGGGGAGCAAACAGG
rnacentral:rRNA from 1 species